CAGGCCUAACACAUGCAAGUCGAACGCCCUUUUGCUCGCAAGAGCUAGAGGGAGUGGCGGACGGGUGAGUAACACAUGGGUGACCUACCCCCCAGUGAGGAAUACCGGCGAGAAAUCGCCGACAAGACCGCAUAGGCUCGGUCCGGUGAAGCGGACAGAGCAAAGUCUCGCAAGAGACGCUGAGGGAUGGGCCUGUGGCCGAUUAGCUAGUUGGUAAGGUAAAGGCUUACCAAGGCGACGAUCGGUAGCUGGUCUGAGAGGACGAACAGCCACACUGGGAUUGAGAACGGCCCAGACUCCUACGGGGGGCAGCAGUGAGGAAUUUUCCGCAAUGGACGCAAGUCUGACGGAGCAACGCCGCGUGCAGGAGGACGCUUUUCGGAGUGUAAACUGCUUUUCUGUGGGACGAGAGUGGACGGUACCACAGGAAGAAGCCCCGGCUAACUACGUGCCAGCAGCCGCGGUAAUACA
rnacentral:rRNA from 1 species